CUUCCGAACUGACGCCUCCGUCUCCACCGACAGUUCCUCGAACCUGACUUCGACCUUGGGAGCCUCAACGCCCAACCUGAAAUCACCAAGCAACAUCUUACAGAUACACUGCAACACAGUAAUGGGGACCUUCGACAUGGCGGAAGAUGAUGGGUUUGACCUGCACCUGCAGAGGGCCUGUUGCUCGUCAUCACAACGUCGUUGCAUGAGAAGUCUGGCAGCGGUCACAGUCAUUCCCACGUCAGAAACUGGGUGGAAGCUGCGAGCUCGACGUCCGCCGUAGAAGUCCAUGCAGCAUUUAUUUCUUUUAUCCGUGGCGGUCAGAACUUAUCUAACACCGAAGACAUUCUCCCAUUAAUUAUGCCAUUUCGUGCACGAAAAUAAGUGGCCAUUAUGAGCAUGUCGCACGAGGUGGCCCGUCGCAUGACCUACUUGCAUGCACUGCUACUGUGAUCAUCGGGUAAACGUCGU